rnacentral:rRNA from 1 species
UACGGAGGGUGCAAGCGUUAAUCGGAAUUACUGGGCGUAAAGCGCGCGUAGGCGGUUUGGUCAGUUUGGAUGUGAAAGCCCCGGGCUUAACCUGGGAACUGCAUUCAAUACUGCCAGACUAGAGUACGAGAGAGGGGGGUAGAAUUUCUAGUGUAGCGGUGAAAUGCGUAGAUAUUAGAAGGAUACCAGUGGCGAAGGCGGCCCCCUGGCUCGAUACUGACGCUGAGGUGCGAAAGCGUGGGAGCAAACAGGAUUAGAUACCCCCGUAGUC